UACGUAGGGUGCGAGCGUUGUCCGGAAUUAUUGGGCGUAAAGGGCUCGUAGGCGGUCUGUCGCGUCGGCUGUGAAAUCCCGAGGCUCAACCUCGGGUCUGCAGUCGAUACGGGCAAACUGGAGUGUUGCAGGGGAGACUGGAAUUCCUGGUGUAGCGGUGAAAUGCGCAGAUAUCAGGAGGAACACCGGUGGCGAAGGCGGGUCUCUGGGCAACAACUGACGCUGAGGAGCGAAAGCGUGGGGAGCGAACAGG
rnacentral:rRNA from 1 species